rnacentral:rRNA from 1 species
UACGGAGGGUGCAAGCGUUAUCCGGAUUCACUGGGUUUAAAGGGUGUGUAGGCGGACUUUUAAGUCAGUGGUGAAAUCUCAAGGCUCAACCUUGAAACUGCCAUUGAUACUAUUAGUCUUGAAUCUUGUUGAGGUGGGCGGAAUAUGUCAUGUAGCGGUGAAAUGCUUAGAUAUGACAUAGAACACCAAUUGCGAAGGCAGCUCGCUAAACAAGUAUUGACGCUGAGGCACGAAAGCGUGGGGAUCAAACAGG